AAUAUUAAGAGAAUUUAUAUUCCCUAUCCAACCAGGGAUGCUACCAAAGAGACGAUUAUAACUCAGGUCCAACAUUUUCAACAUUGUGCAAUUACUUAUGCUAUAUGGGAUACUUCCAGUGAAUUGAUUGCCAUCCAACAAUAAUCGAAUCAAUUCUUUGCAAUUAGCUUGUUUUGGGAAUAUUUGGCCAUGCAAACUAUUGUUUGAAAGAAUGAGCUCAUAUAACGAACUGCAUCCAACAAUCAACUCUUGGGGUAUUUUGCCUGACAAAUGAUUGUUGGACAAGUCUAAUUUUAUCAAUUGGCUCAUUUUCCCAAAUGAUGAAGGAAUGUCACCAAUGAGACCAUUUCCAGACAAGUUUAGAAAAUAUAAAUUUGGAAAUUGUACUCCAAUUUCUGUUGGAAUAGGACUGUUGAAGCUGUUGUCAGAGAUAUCUAAGUCUGACAAAUACACAUGGGAAUGCAUUGGCAAGUGGAGGGGCCCUGAAAGAGAACAACUAGGCAAGUAAAGUGUGUAUAAUUUUGUGUUGUUUCCAAUCAACCAAUGUGGAAACUCUCCCUUCAUUUUAAUAUCUGACAGAUCAACAUACUCUAACUUAUGCUGAUAAUAGAGGAACUUGGGAAACACUCCACCAUCUCCUUGACCUGACAAAUCUAAGGUCUCUAAUUGAAAUUUCGGCGUCAAAUUAGGCACAUCUAUAUCUGCAUAUAUUUCAUUCUCAUAACAAUCCAAGUGCUUGAGCUUUGAAAGGUUGAAGAAUGGCAGAAGAGAGAUUGGGAUUUGGAGCAGGUUCCUUGAAAGAUCUAAUGUGUGCAUGGAUGAGAGGGUCCCCAGGGGAGAUAAGGAGAUAUUUCCGAUGAAGUGAUUGGAAGAUAGAUCUAACAGUUGAAGGGAUGUUAAAUUUGCUAGACACAAAGGUAAAGUGCCACUGAGAUCA
rnacentral:misc_RNA from 1 species